GAUAUGCCCUGCGAGAAGGAUUGAUGCGAUAUCCUUUUGUUUUAGGUUGAUUCACUUGUACUUUCGAGUUUAGAAAAAACGAAAACAAUCAAGCCAUCACUCUCCUUAAGAAAAAAACAAAAGAUAUAGCGGAAAGCCUGUUUGCCA
rnacentral:sRNA from 1 species